rnacentral:rRNA from 1 species
CCUACGGGAGGCAGCAGUAGGGAAUAUUGCUCAAUGGGGGAAACCCUGAAGCAGCAACGCCGCGUGGAGGAUGAAGGUUUUCGGAUUGUAAACUCCUUUUGUUAGAGAAGAGAAUGACGGUAUCUAACGAAUAAGCACCGGCGAACUCCGUGCCAGCAGCCGCGGUAAUACGGAGGGGGCAAGCGUUACUCGGAAUCACUGGGCGUAAAGAGCGCGUAGGCGGGCUAGCAAGUCAGAUGUGAAAUCCUAUGGCUUAACCAUAGAACUGCAUUUGAAACUGUUAUUCUAGAGUAUGGGAGAGGUAGUUGUAAUUCUUGGUGUAGGGGUCAAUUCCGUAGAGAUCAAGCGGAAUCCUCAUUGCGAAGGCGACCUGCUAGAACAUACCUGACGCUGAUGCGCGACAGCGUGGGGAGCAAACAGGAUUCGAUACCCCUGUAGUC